UACGAAGGGUGCAAGCGUUAGUCGGAAUUACUGGGCGUAAAGCGUGCGUAGGUGGUUUCUUAAGUCGGAUGUGAAAGCCCUGGGCUCAACCUGGGAAUUGCAGUGGAUACUGGGCGACUAGAGUGUGGUAGAGGAUAGUGGAAUUUCCGGUGUAGCAGUGAAAUGCGUAGAGAUCGGAAGGAACAUCUGUGGCGAAGGCGACUAUCUGGGCCAACACUGACACUGAGGCACGAAAGCGUGGGGAGCAAACAGG
rnacentral:rRNA from 1 species